rnacentral:misc_RNA from 1 species
UAUAAACUAUCGCGACGCCCAAAAAGUCGCGGCUUGGGUCUUGCCAGCUGGCGUGAUAUCCCCUAUUUGGUCUUGUGCCUUUGUGGGGUGCCAGAACUAUGGCGUUUCCCUAAUGUACCCGGACGCACCAUGUUACGGCUAAAAGCCUUGACGAGAUGUGUCGAUAGAGUCGUGGCUCAGUGAUAUAUUUUAUGUGCGCGCUCUACCGUCAUGUUUUGUCUAUGGUUGGCUUGCUGUGGGUGGUUGUGUACCGAUGCUGACUAAUGAUGUGCCAUAUGGCUCAUCAUUU